UACCAGACUCCUACGGGAGGCAGCAGUGGGGAAUAUUGCACAAUGGGGGAAACCCUGAUGCAGCGACGCCGCGUGAGCGAUGAAGUAUUUCGGUAUGUAAAGCUCUCUCAGCAGGGAAGAAAAUGACGGUACCUGAAGAAGAAGCCCCGGCUAACUACGUGCCAGCAGCCGCGGUAAUACGUAGGGGGCAAGCGUUAUCCGGAUUUACUGGGUGUAAAGGGGGCGCAGACGGCGAUGCAAGCCAGGAGUGAAAGCCCGGGGCCCAACCCCGGGACUGCUCUUGGAACUGCGUGGCUGGAGUGCAGGAGGGGCAGGCGGAAUUCCUGGUGUAGCGGUGAAAUGCGUAGAUAUCAGGAGGAACACCGGUGGCGAAGGCGGCCUGCUGGACUGCAACUGACGUUGAGGCCCGAAAGCGUGGGGAGCAAACAGGAUUAGAUACCCGCGUAU
rnacentral:rRNA from 1 species